GGCUCCCUAGCUCAGUCGGUAGAGCAGAGGCCUGAAAAGCCUUGUGUCACUGGUUCAAUUCCAGUGGGAGCCACCA
rnacentral:tRNA from 1 species